AAAGAUGAGGCCAAAAAGGUGGCCCCUGCGGCUAAACCAGAGCCAGAGCCUAAGCCUAAAGCCAAGCCUGAACCUGAAGUAAAGGCUAAAGCUGUGCCCAAACCUGAGCCCAAACCUGAGCCCAAACCAGAGCCCAAACCAGAGCGCAAGCCAGAGCCUGCUCCAGUGUCCAAACCAGCAGUGGAGCCUAAAGUGGAACCAGAGCCAGAAGCUAAACCUCUGAAGAAACCAGUGACUCCACCAACCAAAGUCGCUGAAGAGGUAAAAGUUCAGCCUGAAGAGAAGAAGGCCGAAAAGAAGGCAGAGCCGGAGCCUCCUAAAAUCAAGCCAAAGGAGCCAGAAAAGCCCAAGGAGGAAGUGCGUAAACCAGAGCCAGAGGUGAAGAAACCUGAGGUGAAGAAACCUGAGGAGAAGAAACCUGAUGUGAAGAAACCUGCAGUGAAAAAGCCCGAGUUGAAGAAGCCUGAGGAGAAGAAGCCAGAGGAGAAGAAGCUCGAGGAGAAGAGGCCUGAGAUGAAGCCUGAGGAAAAGAAGCCUGAGGUGAAGAAGCCUGAGGUGAAGCCUGAGGUGAAGAAGCCUGAGGUGAAGGCCCCAGAGCCAGAGACCAAACCAGAGCCUGCCCCUGCUCCAAAGGAACCUCCAAAGAAAGCCCCUGUUGAGGAGAAGAAGCAAACUACACCAAAAAUCAAAGAAGCAGUAGUAGAGCCACUUGCUCCACAAGAAGAAAGCAAACCUAAACCCCCAGUCAAAGUUCAAGAGGCUGUAAAAAAGCCAGAAGACAAAAAGGAAAAGAAAGUGGAGAAAAAAGUAACUCCACAAGAAGACGUAAAGCCAGCGGUCAAGCCUGAGCCUGUGGCAAAGGUGGAAGAACCAGCUAGCAAGGUUUCAGAGGAGAAACCCCUUUUAGUUGAGACCAAAGUUCCAGAGACAGAUCAAACUAAGGGACCUGUCCAAGCACCAGGAGGAGUCAAGAAAGGUAGGCA
ensembl:lncRNA